CUUAAAUGUAAUGGCAAAAUCCUGACCCAGAAUAUAAAUAAGAAAUCUCUAAUUAUGUGAGAGAUAAGUAUAAAAGAACAAUUAUUUCGUACCCACGCAGAUAAAAGCGAAAACGAACUAUCCCAUGGUGCAAGUAAAGCAAGUGGUCAGGUCGAACACUCGAGUAAUGCAGGUCCUUAAAAAUACUCUUACCGUAAUUGAGGCUGAAGAAUCAAAAAUGUGGCAAGAUACUUUGGGAGAGGUUCAGUUAGCCUUAAAUAGUUCCAGGCAUAAGACCACGGGAUAUAGUCCGGCAAAAAUAUUAUUUGGUACGAAAAUUCACUCAUUACAAUUAAACAGUUUGAUUUAUCAAUUUUUGGAUGGUGAUGAUAACACUAGUAAAAAUAUAAACAAGUGCGCAAAAUUAGAUACGGAACGUUUUAAUAUUAAUAAAAACCUUUUGUCGUAA